rnacentral:rRNA from 1 species
ACGAAGGGGGCUAGCGUUGUUCGGAAUUACUGGGCGUAAAGCGCACGUAGGCGGAUCGGUCAGUUAGGGGUGAAAUCCUGGAGCUCAACUCCAGAACUGCCUUUGAUACUGAAGAUCUUGAGUUCGGGAGAGGUGAGUGGAACUGCGAGUGUAGAGGUGAAAUUCGUAGAUAUUGGGAAGAACACCGGUGGCGAAGGCGGCUCACUGGCUCAUUACUGACGCUCAGGCGCGACAGCGUGGGGAUCAAACAGGA